rnacentral:rRNA from 1 species
AGUGAACGCUGGCGGUAGGCCUAACACAUGCGAGUCGAACGGCAGCACAGUAAGAGUUUGCUCUUACGGGUGGCGAGUGGCGGACGGGUGAGGAAUACAUCGGAAUCUACUUUUUCGUGGGGGAUAACGUAGGGAAACUUACGCUAAUACCGCAUACGACCUACGGGUGAAAGCAGGGGAUCUUCGGACCUUGCGCGAUUGAAUGAGCCGAUGUCGGAUUAGCUAGUUGUCGGGGUAAAGGCCCACCAAGGCGACGAUCCGUAGCUGGUCUGAGAGGAUGAUCGGCCACACUGGAACUGAGACACGGUCCAGACUCCUACGGGAGGCAGCAGUGGGGAAUAUUGGACAAUGGGCGCAAGCCUGAUCCAGCCAUACCGCGUGGGUGAAGAAGGCCUUCGGAUUGUAAAGCCCUUUUGUUGGGAAAGAAAAGCAGCAGGUUAAUACCCCGCUGUUCUGACGGUACCCAAAGAAUAAGCACCGGCUAACUUCGUG